AUGUGCCUGAGAUGGAUGGCGCUCUCAUUUUUGGACCACCGUUUCUUAAAGGGGAGUCCGAGUUGACGUGGAAUAUGAAUAUGCCUGCUUGCAGGAAAUUCUAAGACCACCACAGGUCACCCACCUGGUUAUUAAUAGCUGGGUAUCAAAAAGGGGGUGCGCCAUUUCAGGUGUUUU
rnacentral:other from 1 species